GUAUUCCUCAUCUCGAAUCAUUCCUUUGAAACGAAGCUUCUCUUCUUCCUCUCCAAGUCUCUCUGUUCUCUCCUCCCCUCUCUGCCGAUCCCCUUUCUCUUUGGUGUGUUACAGCGUCCCCGAAGUGGCUCCCGUACUCCUCCGCGGGUGGGGGCGGAGCGAGGCGUGGCUCCGGCGCGCUGCCACCGGUGGUGGUCCUCGUCUUCCUCUUCGUCAUCGCGCCGUCGAUCUUCUUUGUUGUGCGCAGUGGCAGCAACGUCCAUGUCGCGUUUGGUUCGACCCGUCUCACUCCCUAGACCACUUCUGUUGGAGGAACCACUUCAGCCAUGUAUUUCGUACGAGGCACCACCGAUUCUUAAUUUGGGGUCCCGUUGCGUCAGGUUGGUCCAUCCGCGCUUUGGUGCGCCUGGGCCACGAGUUUGAUGCGCUUCUGCGGGUUUAAUUUGGUGGUAUGCUUGCUAGUUCCUUCUACUGGCAUCUCCAUCUCUCACCACCAUUGCGUAGAUAGAUUAGCAGGAUCAGCUCACUGGAGACUAGUAGAGAGCAUACCAAGCUCACAUUUUCAGAAUUGCUGUGUGCACAAACACAUUUUCAGACUAGCAGAAAGCUGCCACCACAACCUCUAUUUGCAUGCAUCGUUACUUAGCUUGGAAGAAUGACUACACACGUAUGCAUUCUAAUGAUCACAUACAUGUAUCUAGCUCUCCCCAUAAAAUAUUUGCAUGCAUGACAAAGCUCCAACACGUACACUCUCAUGCUUACUUAGAUUAGAAGCAUUCUGUACAAGACAAACUACUAUAUGUUAGUAUUACUUACACUGUGUGUGUUCUAGCAUGUUAAAUUUAACAUUCUAAUAUAUUUCUUUGAAACAAUAGUCUGGCAUAACUUAUUUACUCCACUUUUUGAAACAGUAAUAAUAUUGAAUUAUUCAUAUAUUAAUCUAAAAUAAUAACCAAACAACUAGAGGACAGUGGAUUAGUAGCAUGCAUGUGUGACUUAGUUUUUGGUGUGUUUUGCUUGCAGGUCAUUGUUGUGAAGGCUGCCACGGGAAGGAGUGGGGGAUUUGGCACAAGGCCGGUGAUUGAGUCUAUGCUCUCUCCUCCAUGGAAAGACCUAAAUUCAGCUUGACAGAGAGCACACGAUUGGUUUCAGCUUGAUAGGGCGAGUUCCGCGAGGAGUUCGUAGCAGAAGAACCCCAAGAACAAGUCCGUCGCCGCCGUCGGCAAAGCAGCCGGUGGGAGGUGGAAGAGCUUGAGCGAAUCGCAUCCAUGGCCAGUGCACAAUCAUCAUGUUCCUUGCUUACAAGAUGGCAGUGUGAGGAAGCUGUGUGAUGGUCAUGCUCUGUGCUUUCUUGCAGGGCCGGCUGAGCGAUGCGGCGGUGAAGGUGGUGAACGAGAUGCUGCCGUCGGGCGCCGUCGACCAACCACCCAAGGCAAAGAAGAACUCAACUCACUGGAUGCAGGGAAGGAGAUGGAGGGUGACACACAGCCAUGGAGAGGAGCAGCAGUAGCUCAAGAUAUUUUGAGUAAAUUCAAGACGAAAGAUGUUCAAAGAAGCUCCAAGACAUUCUUAUAUAGCAAGUUAUGUAAUAAUAGCUGGGUUAUCUGGGAAUUUAAUGUAUCUUCUCUCUGUUUGUGAAUGAAAUAGUAAUUAUGUAUGUGAAUUAAUGUAUCUUCUCUCUGUUUGUGAAUUUCAUGUAUGUUUCAGAAUUA